rnacentral:lncRNA from 10 species
GGGAGUUUGACAGGUGAAGAGACCUCUUUCAGGCAGAGGGAACAAAAUAAGCCACAGUCCUCAUCCUUGAACCAGGUGAGAACUUCUAGCUUACUGGGUAAAGUCCAAUUAACGUGGUGCAGAAUUCCAUCCAUGGCAGGGCUCCUGCUGUCUCCAGCCUCAUCUCCAGGCACACCCUGCACCCUUGAGAAGACAAUGCUUCCGUGUCCACCAGUUCAUUCCUUCCAGACACAUCCCAGUGGUGUCUAGCUCAGGUCUCAGCUCCUGGAAAGGGACAAGGACGCCCCAGAGUCUGCUUUUUUGACACUUACCUUCUGGUCCCCCUGAAAAAUCAUGCUGCAUCACGCCUGCACAUUGUCCUUUCUGCGGAAAUGUCCUGUCUCCCCAUCUCUAUCUGCCAAAGACCCACGCAUAAUGCAAACAAUUCAGGUUUCACCCUUUGCAGUGAACUUUGUACAGCUCUCCCAGAGCCGUGGAGUCUAGGUCUAUGCCCAAGAGAGAUGCAUGAAAUGUUUUACUGGUUUCUGCAAAUAAGCCAGACCAAGGGAGAAACAGACCUUCAGCAAGUAGUAACCAAAUGCAAGUUUUGAGAAUGUGGAGGGAGAGGAGCUUCUGCCCCUGCAAACUGGGCAGUGCAUCCAAGGUCUCCUGCUAACAUCUGUCACUCAUCGGAGCCACCUGAUCUGAAGCGUUGUCAGGGUCAGUAUUUUUGUUCUGCCUGCUGUUUUGCUAAUGGAUCAAUGGCAGUCAGUAAAGAACAAACCGUGCCAGAAAAGAAUGUCCUCUUCUUCUCAGCUGACUCAGCUCGGGACAGGAAGACAGGGGGCAUCUGGCAUUUGGGGAAGCCCUUGAUUGUCCCUUAGGAAAUAACUGAAAAUGGAUUUGUGUUGGCCUGGUUCUAAGAAGGUCACCCAGGUUGAAUUUGAAAAGCAGAGGCACUGUGUCCACAAAAGAAAGUGAUAAGCAGCAAGCCAUUUCUCAAAGCUAAUGCCCGAGUGUGUACCACCGGGAUCCAUUUUAUAUCUCUCUACAGAUUGGUGUGUUUUUCAUGACAACCAUCCCCAUAGCAACCAGGUGUCCAGGCACUAAAUUGAUCUCAAGGAUAUGAAAUCUCAGCCUGGUGAGGGAAGCCCACUCUGACUGCAGUUUCCUUGGAGUCGUUUCACAUCGAGGGCUGGUGUGCAGGUCAUGGGGAAUGGGGCUUCUUCCUGAGGGCUCAGCUGGACACAAGGGACAGCCCUGGUGAGAGGGGAGCCU